ACAUGUACACAAUUACAAAUCUGCAUUUGCAUCAAUGCGCAGCAAGCUCUUAUAUUAUCCCUAUUCCCAUUGAUGUAUCAUCACUAUCAACCAUGAGACUGUCAACCUUCCCAAACGUUCUUUAAGAUCGACGACAUAUGGCGAAAGUUGUACUAGAAAUGUAUACGUGGAAGGGCGUGCUCAAGAAUCAAUGAAAUAUAAGCGAAAUCAGCGGAUGCUCUCACGUACAGCUAUAGGACACGUCGGUGUGUAUGUACAGCAUAGCUCACUCUGUUCCGGACAGCUGAUGGAAAAAGACAAACGAUAAUUGGUGUGGAAAGCUCUACGUACGUACAAAGAAUUAGUAAACCUGAAUCGCUUCGUCGACCUGAAUUUUCCAACCAUGAGGUUUAGUCUCGGCCCGAUGAAACACAAUCCAAGUACAAACAACAUGAUUGAUUCACUCGCCUUAAGGGGGUGCCUUGCUCGAUUUCAACGCUAAUGUAUAUAUCUCCAAAUAUCAAAGUCCAAGUAUCUCAAACGCAAAAAAGGGCUCAACAGUCCCACUCUAUACGCAAUUUUGAACAAAAGAAACCCCAACACAUUUUCGUUUGACGCUGCAGAAAUAAAGAAAUUGCAUGAAUUCUACGAAUUUACUUUUGCGAUUUCGUAAAACUUAUGCCAUUUCUUUAUUUCUGCCUAAUUUAAAAAUGCGUUGAAGUUUUAGUUUUUUUUUUUUUGUCCAAAAUUACGUAUAGAAUGGGACUGUAUUUGUCAAAAUCGACCAGUUGAAUCACUUUCAAUUUUUUUUCUUCCAAUUCAGGUCAAUUUUUAGAACAAUUUAUACCUAUAUUGCGUCAGAACAAAGGUAUACAAGGAUAAAUUGAAAGUAUAUAUACGUGAGUGGAUACGUAUUUCCUGUAUUAUGCCAGUGAUAAUGUAAUUGUGUAUAUGUUAUACAAACUUAUGUAGAUAUAAUUCGAGCUGUACUGCUGCAGGUGUCGAGAGAGAAUAUAAGACGCUACAAGUAUAAUAUUACAUACACAUGAAUACAAUAUUCGAUCGUGUACCGCAUAUGCUAAUACUAAAUCGCUAUAUGUAUAAUAAAAUCGUUAUGUAUUUAUUUUAUCAAGGCUAUUGUGCGCAUGAAUUCAUCGGGUAAACGAAUGUAAUUUACGUUGUGUACAUAGCGUAUACAUUUGUCAGCGUCCGUAUGAUGAACCGCUGGUAAGGAGUCACUUAUUAUCGUAAGCUCGUCUCGUGCGAGUGCAGCGAAUUUGAAACGCGGUUUCGCGCCAAACGAACGCGCGCACGCGUGCAAUCCUCCCACCUGCAUAAUCAGCGAUCAGAGACUAGAAACUAGAUAAACUGCCUAGCCGCUGCGUUACGUGUAAGUGUACGAGGAGAACACACAUCCAGAUAUGCGGGAACUUUAAAUAAACGUUGUGUAACGAAUAAACCUUGUCUAAUCAACAUAAAGAAUCCCUGGUUCGUCAUUGCGCCAACGGUGCAUACGAUCGAACGGAACCAAGUUUGAAAAUAUAACGAGCGAAGAACCGCCUUAUGAGAAUUGUAAGAAAAUUUGUUGAAAACAGAGGAAGAGAUUUGGCAAUAAAACAGAUAACUCGACAAUGACGUGUAGGAAAUUACGAAAUUGCAUACGUAUACAUAUACAACGGCGUGUAUACCUAUAUAUGUAUCAUAGUAAAACUUGACGAAAAGUUGCCGAGGUGGAGCAAGAGAAGGGAAUUGGGGAUGGCGUCGGCGGCGAGGGGGGAGAAAGAGGAGGUGGUCUAU
rnacentral:lncRNA from 1 species